GAAGAAGGCCCCUCGGAGCUAAAAGUUGCACAAGCAGAAACAGCUGCAGCCAAAGCAGAUGCUGAAGCAGCAGAGGCCGCGUUAGAACUUACCCUGGAACUCCUGAAGUCUUCCCAGAGGGAUUUGGUUGCAGCAGAGGCUAAGAUGAGCGCUCUUCAAAUUCAAGUUGACAUUUCGUUUUGGGCUUCAAAGGUUUCAGGCAGGCGAUGAUAGUAUAAAAUUCUACACUGGAUUUGCCAGUUAUAACCAUCUUCUAAAGUGGCCAAUUUAGUGCUCAACAAGUCCAAGAGACAAAGCAAAUUGCCAAACUGCGAAUCCACGUUGAGAGGGCAAUACGGAGAAUUAAAGAGUCCCGCAUUUUUUUUCACACAUCUCUCUCAACUUAAUGGGUACAAUUAAUCAAAUUUACACAGUAGUUUGCUUAUUAGUGAACUUCCAGGGACCACUGAUAAUGUCAUCAGCAGAAGGAUAGAUAAUACAUGAGAGAAACACAGUUAGCCCACUUUACUUUAUGGUAAACAUUGUGGAAAGCCUACAACCAUAAUUCUGUCAAAGGUAUAAGAUAGUGUACAAACAAUAUUGCUCAAUACUGUGACAAGUCCAGGCUAUGCCUUGGGCUAUAAAAGGUCAUGCAACAAGAAACAGUUCUUGGUUCAUUGUAAAUAAUCCUUGGUUAGAGAUUGACAAAUACUUUUAAGGGAGUACAAUUACAAGAAAUUUGCCAGGAUGUUUUUUUAUAUCAUUGUACAACUGCAAACAUGUUUCUUGAAGACCCAACAGUUCAUUAUUAAACAGUUAUAUCUGUAA